UACAGAGGAUGCAAGCGUUAUCCGGAAUGAUUGGGCGUAAAGCGUCUGUAGGUGGCUUUUUAAGUCCGCCGUCAAAUCCCAGGGCUCAACUCUGGACAGGCGGUGGAAACUACCAAGCUGGAGUACGGUAGGGGCAGAGGGAAUUUCCGGUGGAGCGGUGAAAUGCGCAGAUAUCAGGAGGAACACCAAUGGCGAAGGCAGCUCGCUGGGACGGUACUGACGCUGAUGCACGAAAGCGUGGGGAGCAAACAGG
rnacentral:rRNA from 1 species